UGGUUUUCAGAGCAGGGCUGGCUGGAAACCCCCCCUGCAGGGGCAGCUGUGAGGGAACCAGUCCGGAAAUGCAGCAAUUGAUCAUUUGUUCCUCUUGGUAAGGGACUGAGAGAGCCUCAGCACUACUGCAAAUCUCACACCAAUCUGCUCAGCAGCCUGACCUGGACCCUCCUCCUCCUCCCUGCCUUGCCGUGGAUGGACAGUGCCCGGAUGCCCCGCACCCACCACAGCCGCUCUCUCACUGCCCUCCACACCUGGAUGGGGAGAGAAAAUUGAGCAAAGGGUUCCUGGGUUGAGACAAGGAGCAGGAGAGAUCACCUAUCAAAUCCUGUCACGGGUAAAACUGCCUCGGACUUAGAGAUAUGAAUUGAAUUUACUGCUGACAAAAUCAGAGCAGGGAUGGCAUGGACUUUAUGAAAAUGAAUCAAGGGUCAAACCAAGCAAAUGAUUCCCGGAACAUGUAAACUGGAGAGAAUGUUUGAAUGUGUACAACCCUCCUGAGUGUGUAUUUAACCAAUGCAAUGAAAAGGUGUGUAAGGAGAAUUGUUGUAGUUAACCAUGUGCCUCUGGCAGUUGCCAAGCACCCAGCAGGCUGCUUACUGUCCCUUUUAUCCCUUAUUAAAAAACUACAAAUUUUAA